UAUGGUAGAGGUUGCACCGAUUAUGAGUAUCCCAGUGGACAUGACAGACAUGGAUGAAGGUGGGAAAAAGGAAGUGGUGCCGAAGCGGGCAGAAUGGUCUGUGGACUGUCCGACUGGGCGUAUGGUUAAUAGCUGUGCGACUGUCAUCAUACUAGAUUUGAUGGAGAGCUACUUGA
rnacentral:ncRNA from 1 species